rnacentral:misc_RNA from 1 species
UCUAGACCAAGGUAGUUAAAAGCGGAAGGUGCACUCAAAACGAUGAAUCACCUCAUCGCUUAAAGCGCCAAAAAAAUGCUCGCUUCAAAAAUUAUUAAAAAAAAAAAAUUAACUAAUAAUAUAAUAGGCAAAGAAAAUAUAAUCCUCUAUAUAAAAUUUACACCCUUACGAAAUCAUCUAAUGAGGUUUUUUUCACUUUAUUCCUUUUUUUUUUU